ACACCGGCAGCUCAAGUGGUAGCCGCUUUUAUUGGGUCUAAAGCGUCCGUAGCCGGUCUGAUAAGUCUCUGGUGAAAUCCCACAGCUUAACUGUGGGAAUUGCUGGAGAUACUAUCAUGACUCGAGGUCGGGAGAGGCUGGAGGUACUCCCAGGGUAGGGGUGAGAUCCUGUAAUCCUGGGAGGACCACCUGUGGCGAAGGCGUCCGGCUGGAACGAACCUGACGGUGAGGGACGAAAGCCAGGGGCGCGAACCGGAUUAGAUACCCAGGUAGUCCUGGCCGUAAACGAUGUGGACUUGGUGUUGGGAUGGCUUCGAGCUGCCCCAGUGCCGAAGGGAAGCUGUUAAGUCCACCGCCUGGGAAGUACGGCCGCAAGGCUGAAACUUAAAGGAAUUGGCGGGG
rnacentral:rRNA from 1 species